AUGCCAUCACCGCUGCUGCAGGUGUCAGUAGUGUGCCCCAGCAACCAGAACCAGAGCAUGGAGGUGCACAAAAUCCUCAGCAAACAGGGAUUCAGCCUCCGGUCCUUUGGAACGGGACUCAUGUGAAGCUUCCAGGAUCAGCACCUGACAAGCCCAAUGUUUAUGGUUUCAAAGCCACAUAUGACCAGAUGUACAAUGAUCUUCUUAGGAAAGACAAAGAACUCUACACACACAGAAUGGCAUUUUACACAUGCUGGACAGAAACAAGAGGAUCAAGCCUCCGCCAGAGCGAUUCCAGAACUGCAAAGACCUGUUUGACCUGAUCUUCACUUGCCAGGAGGGAGUCUACGACCAGGUGGUGGAAGAUCUGAAUUCCAGAGAGCAGGAGACGUGCCAGCCAGUACACGUGGUUUAUGUCAACAUCCAGGACAACCACCAGGAGGCCACCCUGGGUGCAUUCCUCAUCUGUGAGCUCUACCAGUGUAUCCAGCACACCAAGGAUAUGGAGAACGAGAUUGAGAAGCUGCUGCAGGAGUUCGAGGAGAAGAGUGGCCGCACCUUCCUGCACAUGGUCUGCUUCUACUGAUGCACCUGCCA